AAGUCGUAACAAGGUUUCCGUAGGUGAACCUGCGGAAGGAUCAUUGUCGAAACCUGCCCAGCAGAACGACCCGCGAACCUGUCACAACAACUGGGGGCGGGGGGCGAUCUCGCGCCCCGCCCUCGAACGGCAGGGAGACACUCGUGCCUUCCUGCCGAACAACGUACCCCGGCGCGGUCCGCGCCAAGGAACAUGAACGAAAGAGUGCCUCCGGUCGCCUCGGAAACGCUGCGCGCACCGGGGGCGAAUCUUGUCUAGAACCAUAACGACUCUCGGCAACGGAUAUCUCGGCUCUC
rnacentral:misc_RNA from 1 species